rnacentral:lncRNA from 1 species
UACAGCAUGGUGACCCCGCUAUACUUACAUGUAUACAUUCUUUUUUCACACAUUCUGUGUUCCAUCAUAGGUGACUAGACAGAGUUCCCAGUGCUACCCAGCAGGAUCCCACUGCUAAUCCACCGAGAAGGCUACAUUCUGCAUCUAUUUACCCCAAGCUCCCAGUCUCUCCCACUCCCUCCCCUUCCCCCUUGGCAACCACAAGUCUAUUCUCCAAGUCCAUGAUUUUCUUUUCUGUGGAAAGGUUCCUUUGUGCCAUGUAUUAUAUUCCAGAACUCACCUAAAGCAGUCAACAACGAAACAGACCUCUGAAGUCUGACAGACUUUGAGUUCAAAAGGGAGACAGUGAAAAUACUGAAGGAAUUAAGAGGGGGUAUGAACAGUUAAUGCAUAUUCCCUCAGAAAGGAACUAGAAAAUAUAAGGAGGACUCAAGAAAAACUAGAAAAUUCAUUUGCAGAGAUACAAACGGAGCUAAGGGCAGUAAAAACCAGGAUGAAUAGCUCAGAGGAACGAAUUAAAAAUGCUCUGAAGUAAAAGCAGAAGGGGUGGAAGGCAGAAGAAGAAAGGAAGAAAAAUAUAGGGAGAAGAGAAGACAGAGCAAGGCAGGGAGAAGGGAUGAUGAGAUGGGGAGAGGACAGAGAAGAGGAGGAUGGGAGCCCUCAGUUCAAGGCUGCUACAGCUUUGAGAGCUGGAGAGUAAAUCUAAGGAGAAGCAGAAGAUGUGUGAAGAGGACAAGUUAACCCUUAAGUAAAGCUGCACUUCUGCUGUCACAGCCAAAAGAGGGACUUACUCAAAUAGUCCACAAAUCUCUACCUUUCCAAAGAAACUUAAAGCAAUUUUAAGAAACAAGUUGUAUACAUUCCACAUCUCAGAAAAGACCUUCUGAGUCCAAGCAAAUUAACACGAAGGGACUCGAAGCUGAUUCCUCAGUAAAGGAGAGUGGCCGAUUUUCUACAAAUGCCAUGUUUUCUGCAUCUGUUUCUAUAAAAGCAAUGUUUUAUUGAUCCAAAUAGUGGACAAUAAAGGAGUUCUCCUGUCAAGUUUGAGAAAUUGUAGGGUUUAUACUUUUAUCAUUCUGACCUGCAGACUAACCUUUUACCCAGAAAAAAAUACUUUUCCCCUUGUUAAAGUUAAAUUCAGAAAGGAAGAAUACUGAUAGGAAACUGCUUCUGAGAAAUCCAUCUCACUGAAACGAAACACAGAAUCCUGAAAAGAUGUUUUAGAAUGUAACUUUGAUUUAAAAAAAAAAAAAUCAAUCCCUCUGAAGUAACAGGAACCUCUUACCUCCAAAGAGUAAUGCAAAUCCAACACUUACUUUAAGCAAGUUACCAACUUAAUUUUGGAAGUGGUCAAGGUCUGGUGACCUUUAGAGUUGGCUAAAAGACAGCCUUGCUUUGGCUUGGCAAUAUUUUUCAAAAAGUUAUUAUGACUUUUACAUGGUCCAGGAAUCAGAGGAAAUUUUUAACAGAAAUUUAUUAUGUAACAAUUGAAAAUGCAAAGCACAUAAUUUUACUAAUUUCUUACAGGUUUUGAGUUGGAGAAUUAAAAUACUAGACAAAAUACAUAUACUAUGAAAUGAUAUUUCCAAGAAAUAUUAAAACCUUUACUAAAUAUUUAGAUUAUCUUCUGAUAUUAGGAAAACACUUAGGUAAUUACAGCAAAAGACAAUAUAAAAUAUUAUAGAAUAUAAAAAUACUAAAAUUAAAAAUCACUUAAUCCUUAAUUGUAGUAAGUACGGGUUUUUAAAAUAGCCAUUAAUGAAAAAAAUCAUGUAUCACAAAUUGUGCAGUGAUAUCAUUUAUAAUUCCAUCUACAAAAGCAAGCCGGAUGGAAAUCCUAUAAAAUUGGAUUGUAAUGAUCAAGUAUGGAAUAUAGUAAACUAAAUUCUUAUAAGAGUGACAGGGAAGGACCCAGAGGGAUACUAAGAAUAAAAACAAACAUACUCUCUCCAAAAAUUUGUUAGCUGACAGGAAGAAUCGAACCUCGAGCUCGAUGCAGUUAAUGUAACGCAAAUGCAAACUGGAGGCUGGCACUCGCCAUCUGCCUCGACGUGGACUGAAUCACAAGCUGCCGACUCUGCUGACCUUCAACACCCCCUGAAAGGAGCUCAGGGUGGAGAUAAGGAGUGAGGCAUUCUGUGCUCUGGGAAAAACUAACAGAAUAGGUCUUCAGAUAGGUACAUAUCUUCAGGAGAAUAUUUUAUGAGCCUAAUUCUUACAUAUCCUCAUAUCUAGAAAAGCACCAAAAUCCUUCAUGGUGACAUCUCUCCUCGUAACUAGCAGUAACCUUCACGAGAGCAGCAGGAACUUUCAUGAGACCAGCAAAAUGUGCACCUGACUCUAUGUACCUCCCCCUUCGCCAAAAUCGCAUAUAUACUGACCUUUCCCCAUAUCCCUUUGGAGUGGUUUCUCAGCGCUACCUGAAAUGCUGCCCCCUGGGUUAUAGUCCUCACCCUGACCCCAAAUAAAACUAAUGCACAACAUUCGUGUUGUGCUUUUUAAGCCAAAAAAAAAAAAAAAAUCACAUUCUCUUCUCCAUAACACACACUCCUUACUGAAGAAAGAAUUGAAGUGGGGGUGCUGUAAGACCUGAGAAGGGAAAGGUAUGAUUCUUUCCAUCAAAAUCCCCAUUGAAACCUAUCUGUAUACAGACAGUUUCACAAGACAGCACAGCAGUUUCACAGCAGCACGAACUUCAGGAAAUAACCAAAGAUGCUUUCUGAAUUCCAUUAAACACUCACAAAAAUCCUACUAUGUGUUUAUAAAGCUGUACCCUCUGCCUUCUUCUUCAGGCCUCCCACUCUGAAAGCGAUAUCUCUAAUAUUCCUAAUUAAAAGCAAAAGGAACCAUUGAUGAAAUACAUAAAUAACACUCUCUGAAAAAGAGAGUCUAGCCAUUUGUUUUUCUGACUAUGAAAAUGUAGCUUGUGUCAAGCAGCCAAGAUCCCUGCUGAAUCAGACCAUGAAAGGAGAGUCUUACUUGUAAUGUUACUUUUAUAUCUGCUUGUGGUCAGCCUCUCAGGCCUGGCUACUGAUCAUCAGUCCAAGGUGGAUUCCAUCCAUCAGUUACCAGGCACAUGAAACAGGCAGGGGUCAGCAGCCACCAUCGCAAUCAGCCGGGGACAAUAUGAGAUGUGCUUGUCCUUAUCAUGGCAGCUGGGCAAGGGCCACUCAGAGAGUGACCCCAGACCCCCUUUGAUGUCACAACGAAUUCACACCACACACACAAUGAUCAAGACGACCAGUCCCGCCAGCUGUGAGGCAAAACCACAGAGAAGCCAGAACAGCAAGCUGUGGAAACACCUGGCUGAUUCUGAGCCAAACAAAUUCUUAGGUGGCAACAUGGAGAAGAGAGAAUGUAUUCUUUAUUGAACACGCAUACUACAAGAAAACAAGAGGGCAAAAUGAUGUCUUAAAUGAAAUAACAAAUCAAUAAAAAUGCAGUCCUUUCUAUUUCAAAUAAGAAUCUCAGAGGAUUGUUCCCUGAUUCUGCAAUAAAAAAGGUAUAUUGCUCUGUGUUGGCACUGCAAUAUUAGUUUAUCUCCUUCAUUUCUUCCUAUUUCAGUGUAAGGCAAGGGAUCCUUAGCAUUUAAAAAGAGUCGAUCCACGUGAUUUUUCAGUUCUCCACGUCUCGGUUUGUAGAGCUCCAUAUUUCAACAUUAGUUUAUAAUGGACAUUAGUCAGAUCGUGCUAUUCCUCUGCAGAACUCACAUCAAGUCCACUUUUCACAGAACAUCAUCAUCACAUAAAUAUUCCAGCACACCGUGUCGGUCUUCCCCAACACAGCUGUUUUUUAAAAAGCGGCUACCUUUGGGUGAAAAAAAAUUUCAAACUCCAAGUCUAUUUUUGCUAAAGAUGCAGACUUUUAGAGCAGGACUUCCCAAUAAAGACAGUGCUUUGGAGUUCCUGUCGUGGCUCAGGGGUUAACGAAUCUGACUAGGAACCAUGGGUUUGCGGGCUCGAUCCCUGGCCUUGCUCAGUGGGUUGAGGAUCCAGCCUUGCCAUGAACUGUGGUGCAGGUCGCAGA